rnacentral:rRNA from 1 species
UACGUAGGGGGCGAGCGUUGUCCGGAAUGACUGGGCGUAAAGGGCGCGUAGGCGGCUAAAUAAGUUAGGAGUGAAAUUCCAGUUUUCAAGAUUGGAACUGCUUUUAAUACUGUAUAGCUUGAGUGCAGAAGAGGUAAGCGGAAUUCCCAGUGUAGCGGUGAAAUGCGUAGAGAUUGGGAAGAACACCAGUGGCGAAGGCGGCUUACUGGGCUGUAACUGACGCUGAGGCGCGAAAGCGUGGGGAGCGAAC